AGGCUUGGAGAAAGUUCCUGCGAGUGCUGCCAGGCGGGGGAUGCUAACACCGAGGCGAUAGGAUGAGAAACCCUGGGUGGCCUGGCUCCAAGGGAGAGCUGCGGGACCCUAAUCUUGACCUUUCUGUCCUGCUUCGCGGGGGAGAGUCAAUGAACCGGAUUAACUGGGCACAGAGGGAGGGUGCGGAAAGUGGCGAUGGAGGCGCCUUGCAGCCAGGAGCGACCCCCAACCUGGAAUAACCCCAAACCCGUUGCAGAUCACUGGUGCCCAACUACAGGGGGUCUGCAAACGCAUGCUGCCUGUUUGUACCAGAGCGCUACACAUUGUUUUACACUUGAACAUGUGUGUAUCGAUGAUAAUGACAACAAUACCUUUGGACUCCAAUUAAGAGAAAUAUUAUCCCCUUCAAAAAGGAACACCUUUCUCUCAUUAGUGGGUGUGUACUGCAAAAAAAAAAAAGAAAAACCCACUCAAAUACUAUUCUAGUUUGGAUUCCAUCAAUAAAACAUUGUGAAAGUUUGUUUUCUCUCUUGUUACAUAUCUACUUACAUAAUAUCCUCGCCGGUUUUCCUCUUGGCCCACAAAUCCUGAAUUAUUUACCUAGGUUCCUUGAAAAAGCCGUAAUGCCAGGGGCCAUCUAAGCCCCGAUCACAGGUGGAAGGGGCAAGAUUGCUCUUGAUGGCGAGUUGGACUGAACCAAGGCCCUUCCAGAUUCCUUAUUUUUAGGUGGAUGUGGUAGUCCUCCAGCCAGAUCGCAGCAACUCAGAGGACUCAGGUGGCCCCCAGCAGCAGCGGCAGCCCUCAACCUCUUUGGAGGCGCCACUUUUCCCUCCCUCCCUGCAGACAGGAGCCAAAAGGUUUUCUCAAGAGCCAAAUACAGGCAUUGGAGAAGGCGAUGUGUUACAUGGUGAUGGAGGACCCGCAGUGUUAAUGAUGCUGGUCACAGUUUAACAUUCCUCAAUGAAAACGCAUUAAACAGGCAAAAUAUAUACACGACGUUCUUCUCAAAGGGAAAGCGGCUUCUUGUUAGCAUGGUGAGGCUGCAGUUCUUUGAUAACAAAACAGAUGUACUCUGUUAAGCAGUAGAAGCUAAAGCGCCUGUCCUCUGAGUCUGUUAAUGGCUGGGCGUUUGGAAGCGAUGAUUGAAUUUUCACAAACCAUGACUUCAAUACUACCAGGAAGAGGGCUGAGCAAUGGAAGAAAUGGCCCCUAAGAGAAUGCCAAGACACCCCGAUGCAUCCAUUCUACCGUGUGUGUUUCACUGGGAGUAUGACAAAUAAUUUACAACUGAUUAUAAAAUGCUAAUGUUUAUAAAUUAUUCUAAAAUAUAAGUUAAAAUGGAUACAA